AGUAACGCGUGAGGAACCUGCCUCAAAGAGGGGGACAACAGUUGGAAACGACUGCUAAUACCGCAUAAGCCCACGGCUCGGCAUCGAGCAGGGGGAAAAGGAGCAAUCCGCUUUGAGAUGGCCUCGCGUCCGAUUAGCUAGUUGGUGAGGUAAUGGCCCACCAAGCAACGAUCGGUAGCCGGACUGAGAGGUUGAACGGCCACAUUGGGACUGAGACACGGCCCAG
rnacentral:rRNA from 1 species